rnacentral:rRNA from 1 species
CCUACGGGAGGCAGCAGUGAGGAAUAUUGGGCAAUGGAGGCAACUCUGACCCAGCCAUGCCGCGUGAGUGAAGAAGGUUCUCGGAUUGUAAAGCCCUUUCGGAUGUGACGCUGAUGACGGUAGCAUCUAAAGAAGCCCCGGCUAACUUCGUGCCAGCAGCCGCGGUAAUACGAAGGGGGCACGCGUUGUUCGGAAUUACUGGGCGUAAAGGGAGUGUAGGCGGUUUAGUAAGAUAGUGGUGAAAUCCCAGGGCUUAACUUUGGAAUUGCCAUUAUAACUAUUAGACUAGAGUGACAGAGAGGAUAGUGGAAUACGCGGUGUAGAGGUGAAAUGCGUAGAUAUUGCGUAGAACACCAGUGGCGAAGGCGACUAUCUGGCUGUACAUUGACGCUGAGGCUCGAAAGCAUGGGGAUCAAACAGGAUUAGAUACCCGAGUAGUC